rnacentral:rRNA from 1 species
GACGAACGCUGGCGGCGUGCUUAACACAUGCAAGUCGAACGGUAAGGCCCUUCGGGGUACACGAGUGGCGAACGGGUGAGUAACACGUGGUGAUCUGCCCUGCACUUCGGGAUAAGCCUGGGAAACUGGGUCUAAUACCGGAUAGGACCAUGGACUUCACGGUUUGUGGUGGAAAGCUUUUGCGGUGUGGGAUGGGCCCGCGGCCUAUCAGCUUGUUGGUGGGGUAAUGGCCUACCAAGGCGACGACGGGUAGCCGGCCUGAGAGGGUGUCCGGCCACACUGGGACUGAGAUACGGCCCAGACUCCUACGGGAGGCAGCAGUGGGGAAUAUUGCACAAUGGGCGCAAGCCUGAUGCAGCGACGCCGCGUGAGGGAUGACGGCCUUCGGGUUGUAACUACUUCAAUAGGACGAAGCGCAAGUGACGGUACC